rnacentral:rRNA from 1 species
UACGAAGGGGGCUAGCGUUGUUCGGAAUUACUGGGCGUAAAGGGCGCGUAGGCGGUCCUUCAAGUCAGGCGUGAAAGCCCCGGGCUCAACCUGGGAACCGCGCUUGAGACUGGCGGGCUAGAGUUCGGGAGAGGAUGGUGGAAUUCCCAGUGUAGAGGUGAAAUUCGUAGAUAUUGGGAAGAACACCGAUGGCGAAGGCAGCCAUCUGGACCGACACUGACGCUGAGGCGCGAAAGCGUGGGGAGCAAACAGG